rnacentral:rRNA from 2 species
UGGGGGAUAUUGCACAAUGGAGGAAACUCUGAUGCAGCAAUGCCGCGUGAGGGAAGACGGUCUUCGGAUUGUAAACCUCUGUCCUUGGUGAAGAUAAUGACGGUAGCCAAGGAGGAAGCUCCGGCUAACUACGUGCCAGCAGCCGCGGUAAUACGUAGGGAGCAAGCGUUGUCCGGAUUUACUGGGUGUAAAGGGUGCGUAGGCGGCUUUUUAAGUCGGGCGUGAAAGCUGUGGGCUUAACCCACAAAUUGCGUUCGAAACUGGAAGGCUUGAGUGAAGUAGAGGUAGGCGGAAUUCCCGGUGUAGCGGUGAAAUGCGUAGAGAUCGGGAGGAACACCAGUGGCGAAGGCGGCCUACUGGGCUUUAACUGACGCUGAGGCACGAAAGCAUGGGUAGCAAACAGG